rnacentral:rRNA from 1 species
GACGAACGCUGGCGGCGUGCCUAAUACAUGCAAGUCGAACGCAGUGGGGACGGGUGAGUAACACGUGGGUAACCUCCCAUCAGAGGGGAUAACACUUGGAAACAGUUGCUAAACCGAUACUGAUGGAUGGACCCGCGGUGCAUUAGCUAGUUGGUGAGGUAACGGCUCACCAAGGCCACGAUGCAUAGCUGAACUGAGAGGGGGAUCGGCCACACUGGGACUGGGACACGGCCCAGACUCCGACGGGAGGCAGCAGUAGGGAAUCUUCGGCAAUGGGCGAAAGUCUGAUCGAGCAACGCCGCGUGAGUGAAGAAGGUUUUCGGAUCGUAAAACUCUGUUGUUAGAGAAGCGUUAUCUAACCAGAAAGCACCGGCUAACUACGUGCCAGCAGCCGCGGUAAUUC